rnacentral:piRNA from 2 species
GAGUAAAUGCCGGCUUACCAUCUCUA